GAUGAAGAACGUAGCGUAAUGCGAUACUUGGUGUGAAUUGCAGAAUCCCGUGAACCACCGAGUCUUUGAACGCAAGUUGCGCCCGAAGCCAUCAGGUUGAGGGCACGUCUGCCUGGGCGUCACAUAUCGUUGCCCAAUGCCUAUUGCAGUGCAAUAGGAAUUUCUAGGGCGAAUGAUGGCUUCCCGUGAGCGUUGUUGCCUCGCGGUUGGUUGAAAAUCGAGUCCUUGGUAGGGUGUGCCAUGGUAGAUGGUGGUCGAGUUAGAACGAUACCGAUCAUGUGCAUGCUCCCCAAAAUAUGGCCUCUAUGACCCACACGCGUCUUUUGACGCUCAUGACGAGACCUCAGGUCAGGCGGGGCUACCCGCUGAAUUUAAGCAUAUCAAUAAGCGGAGGA
rnacentral:misc_RNA from 1 species